rnacentral:pre_miRNA from 1 species
UUUGUAACAGUCUGAUUAACAUGUUGUUAAUCAGACUGUUACAGAAACC